rnacentral:rRNA from 1 species
UACGUAGGGGGCAAGCGUUGUCCGGAAUCAUUGGGCGUAAAGAGCGUGUAGGCGGCCCGGUAAGUCCGCUGUGAAAGUCAAAGGCUCAACCUUUGAAAGCCGGUGGAUACUGUGGAGCUAGAGUCCGGAAGAGGCGAGUGGAAUUCCUGGUGUAGCGGUGGAAUGCGCAGAUAUCAGGAGGAACACCAAUAGCGAAGGCAGCUCGCUGGGACGGU